rnacentral:rRNA from 1 species
UUGGAGGGCAAGUCUGGUGCCAGCAGCCGCGGUAAUUCCAGCUCCAAUAGCGUAUAUUAAAGUUGUUACAGUUAAAAAGCUCGUAGUUGAAUUUCGGGGUUAGUAGGUUGGUCAUGCCACUGGUAUGUACUGGUCUCACUGAUUCCUCCUUCCUGAUGAGCCGUAAUGCCAUUAAUUUGGUGUUGCGAGGAAUCUGGACUGUUACUUUGAAAAAAUUAGAGUGUUUAAAGCAAGCUAACGCUUGAAUACAUUAGCAUGGAAUAAUGAAAUAGGACGUUCGAUCCUAUUUUGUUGGUUUCUAGGAUUGACGUAAUGAUUAAUAGGGAUAGUUGGGGGCAUUAGUAUUCAAUUGUCAGAGGUGAAAUUCUUGGAUUUAUUGAAGACUAACUACUGCGAAAGCAUUUGCCAAGGAUGUUUUCAUUAAUCAAGAACGAAAGUUAGGGGAUCGAAGACGAUCAGAUACCGUCGUAGUCUUAACCAUAAACUAUGCCGACUAGGGAUCGGAUGAUGUUAUUUUUAAUGUCUCAUUCGGCGCCUUACGGGAAACCAAAGUGUUUGGGUUC